GUAGCGCGGUGGUCCCACCUGACCCCAUGCCGAACUCAGAAGUGAAACGCCGUAGCGCCGAUGGUAGUGUGGGGUUUCCCCAUGCGAGAGUAGGGAACUGCCAGGC
rnacentral:rRNA from 3 species